CUUCAGAAAAGUUAAUUUCAAAAUGAUCAAUCGUAUAAAGUAGAUAUAUUUUCUGCAAGAGUCUAAUUUAAUCUUUCAAAUUGUUUUAAUAAAAUUUGCUUUUUCACACAAUUCCCGCAUAAGCUUAUCAGUUCAGUCAGGUAACUAUAUUAAUUUCUUAGGUAGUCUAAUUAGCUGUUCAGAUAACUUUAUUAAGUACUCAUACAGCUACCAUAAAUUUAUUAACUAUGUACUUUAGAGCUCCAGUUCCAAUAGUUCGAUGUAUCGGCACGAAUACUACUCAUAUUGGAUUGCAUUCAUAUCGUAUAUUCGCAAGAUUUUUCUAUCAUUUUGUAAUUAUACAUUAUUGUAUAAUAUUCUGACUGCUGCGUUACGUUGUUAACGAUGUAUAAUGCUUCGACAAGAUUGUCCAUUGUUUCUUCGAAACAAUGCCGAUCGUACAAUCUACUGGAAAUCCGUCAAAACUUCUGCAUUCAUCCAAUAUUAUACGAAUACGAUACGAUAAUAUUUAUAUUUAAAAGCGCACAAUAACGUUUCACAAAAAAUAGAGGAAAUUCUCGCGCUAAAUCUUACUUAAUGUCAUGGAUCUAUCGAACAUUGUAAAAUGAAUACGUU